rnacentral:lncRNA from 1 species
GGGUCCCCUUCCACCACGCAGAAGCUUUACUUUCGCUUUCACUUUACUUUUGCUUUCACUUUAACAAAUCUUGCAGCCGCACACUCUUUGGGUCCGCCCGUUUCUCUAAUCAAGUUGUAACACUCGCUGCUGUGGUCCACAGCUUCAUUCCUUGAAGCCCGUGAGACACGAACGCUUCCAUUGAGAAAAACCUUCCAUCAGAAGAAGACUUCUCGUCUCAGUGGGACUGCUGAGUUGAAUGGUGCUUUUUUUUCUGAAGCUUUGGUAGUGUAACUGUAAGAGUCCUGGAAUUGGAAAAGCAAAUCCAGAAGUUGAGUUCCAUGACUUUUUUGCUGUUUGCCUUUGGACUUGCAUCAUUUAUAUUUUUAAUUCAUCGAGGAUGAGAAAAUUGAUUAACACAAAAUCUUUUCAUGUCUUUUCUGAUGAGAGACUAGCUGAAUCCAAGAAGAGAAGCCCUUGAAGAGUGUAUUCUAUUCUAGACAAGCAUUCACACAUUGGCUUCUUUGGUGCCAGCAUGUUUCUGAUCAGCAUGAAAACUGCGCAGGAGCUUUUCUGUCUUGCAGAGCUAGUUAAUGAGAUUGUUGCUGCCUUCAGAUUCUAUAAAGGACUUCUCCAAUAUUGGAUUAAAGAAUGAAGAAAGGAUCAAAUUGAGACAUCCAGGGGGGAAGAGUUCCCUGGCAAAACUCCAAUCUGCCUGAGCACUGAGGUGGAGCCACAGAAGUCCGGGUCAUUUGCACCUGGGAGGAGCCUGGCCCCUCCUCUUCCUGUGUGGAAUCUGGGAUUUAAUCUGUGAGGAGGGAAGGCCAAGGGCAGGAAGCACAGGCUCUCACUUCACUAAGAGUCUCUGUUUCCCCUUUUUUUCCUUUAUGCCUAAUUAAUAAAUCCCAUUUUUCUCACUCUUCAAAUAGUCUUCAAGCCUAAAUUUUCAUGACCAUGGAACAAGGACCCCA